rnacentral:misc_RNA from 1 species
GAUGAAGAACGCAGCGAAAUGCGAUAAGUAGUGUGAAUUGCAGAAUUCAGUGAAUCAUCGAAUCUUUGACCGCACAUUGCGCCCUUUGGUAUUCCUUAGGGCAUGCCUGUUCGAGCGUCAUUUAAACCUUCAAGCUCAGCUUGGUGUUGGGUGACUGUCCGCCGCCUCCGGGCGGUCGGACUCGCCUCAAAUUGAUUGGCGGCCGGUACUUUGGCUUCGAGCGCAGCAGAAACGCGAACUCGAGGCCGUCGUCCUGGCUCCCAGAAGCUAUCUUCACAAUUUUGACCUCGGAUCAGGUAGGGAUACCCGCUGAACUUAAGCAUAUCAAUAAGCGGAGGA